GAAGUAGAAUUUGGGGUAAUUUCAUUACAAUCACACCUCGCCUUGACGCUUAAAAAUCAAAAGACCUUUUCUUUUGAUUCCUGCUCAGAUGCGAAAGCUGUGAAACUUUUUCUCAACUUAAUUUUUCAAAGUGAAACACUCAAAGAACCAGUUACCACGUCUGAGACCAGUAAAGCAAAAAAAGGCACAACAAUGAGCAUCUUCCCUGUUUGCCUGCUUGUCUGUUUGCUGCUGGUCCAGGUUGUUUCCCCUGAGACGAUUGAAGAAUCAGAAAAAGGCUUUCAGGAGUUUGUUAGACAGCAUAUUAUUGAAGCCAUGGAUCCAAACGACUGCACAAGAGAGAUGAAAAAAAUAAACUUAAUAAAGAAGGUCAGUACAAAAGAUAGAAACAAAAAAGAUGACACCAAAGGACCAAAGAAAAUCAACACAUUCAUCAUUGCUAAUGAAAAUGACAUGAAAGCCAUUUGUGAUGGCCUAACUGAAACAAAAAAAAAAAAAGUAAAAAAAGAUUUAACGUGGUUGUCUGUAAGCUUAUAGAGACAGGGCACUAUGAAGGCAGCAGAAAGGAUGACCAAAUUCUUGAGGUACAAUGUGCAAAUAAUUUACCUGUGCAUUUUUGCAAACAAAUAAGCGGUAAUAAAUAAUUGUGCUCUGCAUCCCCCACAUCCUCUGCUCAGCAAUCAGAAAGCAGAUAUUAAUAAUCUUUUAUCAUGUGCCCUAUAAUAUAUCUUAUCACUAUGUUAAUAAAGGUACAUUGUACGCUAAGCAUCAAACUAUUUUCUUCUUUCUCAAGUGUAACUAGUUUUGCAUGACCUUUUAUUAUGGUACCUAUAUCUGUUUCAUUGCAUUUAAAGAAUAAUCCAGGAAUUAAACAAUGAUAGCUUUUGAUCACACAUUGUUCAAUGAAUAAAGAAAUAAAACUCAA